rnacentral:rRNA from 1 species
CAGCCGCCGCGGGAAUACGAAGGGUGCGAGCGUUGUUCGGAUUUACUGGGCGUAAAGCGCACGUAGGCGGACUUCUAAGUCAGGGGUGAAAUCCCGGGGCUCAACCCCGGAACUGCCUUUGAUACUGGAAGUCUUGAGUAUGGUAGAGGUGAGUGGAAUUCCGAGUGUAGAGGUGAAAUUCGUAGAUAUUCGGAGGAACACCAGUGGCGAAGGCGGCUCACUGGACCAUUACUGACGCUGAGGUGCGAAAGCGUGGGGAGCAGACAGGAUUAGAUACCCCCGUAGUCCCUGUCUCUUAUAC